GCCAGAACCACCUCAUCAUGGGAACAUCUUAUCAAUAUCCUGCUGGGUAGCAAGCCGUACUGCCUAGACCCCUCCCACCCAUACCUAUAAGUACCCCCAGGCUAUAAGCAGCGGUGGGCUCUGGCAUUACACUGGUUCCCCACUUCUGUAGGUUUUAUGCUGGAUGUAAAGCCUGCAUUUGCUGCUGAGAACCUACAAUACAAUGUUGAAUGCUCAGUGGAAGGAAAUUUCCUUGUCUCAGGUUUUUCUUUUGUCCAGCCACCUCUCUAAACUGUUUGACUUCUGCAGUUGUUUUUCAGGUGUGGGACGAAGGACAGAACUCAGUCAUCUCUCUGCUCACCUGAGACAAAUGCAUAUCUGAUUGCUUCCUCUGCCCUAUGUUUAUUUUAUCUUAUGUGAAAAGGCAGAUUUAUUGGACUAGACAAAUGUAUAAGUAACUAUUCCUGUACCCCCCUGUCAUGCGUACAUUGUGUAUUCAGGGAAUGGCUGAUGAAACACUCAAGAGGAUGCAACUGCUUGCCUCUUAUCUAGUCACACCCUUUAAAAAAUUUCUUCCUCUUUCCUCAUACCUGCGCUUUUGCCUUUGAAUACUGAGGUCUCCAGACCCUCUUCAGAAAAAGUAUGGGUCACAAUUUUCCCUGUGGUUCUGGGUUCUUUCUCAGGCAUGUCCUUAACCUUGGCAAACAAACAUCUUAAAAUGAUUUAGACUUGCCUCAGUCGUUUUGAUUUACUCUGUAUCUGUACAUGUACUCUGUAAAUUUUGGCUGGCAAGUCCAAAAUUUAUAGUGUGGGCCAGCAGGCUGGAGAUACGGAAGAGCUGAUGGUGCAGAUGAAGCUUGAAGGCAGUCUUCUGGAAAAUUCCUCUUGCUCCAUGAGGGGAGGGAUGAGGGAAAUGGAGGGGGGAAGGUCAGCCUUUUGUUUCACUCAGACCUUCAACUGAUUGAAUAAAAUCUACCCACAUUAUGA
rnacentral:lncRNA from 1 species